rnacentral:rRNA from 1 species
CCUACGGGUGGCAGCAGUGGGGAAUAUUGCACAAUGGGGGAAACCCUGAUGCAGCGACGCCGCGUGAGGGAAGAAGUAUUUCGGUUUGUAAACUUCUAUUAUCAGGGAAGAUAAUGACGGUAUCUGAUUAAUAAGCACCGGCUAACUACGUGCCAGCAGCCGCGGUAAUACGUAGGGUGCAAGCGUUACCCGGAUUUACUGGGUGUAAAGGGAGCGUAGGCGGGAGAACAAGUCAGGAGUGAAAUGCCAGGGCUUAACCACAGAACUGCUUUGGAAACUGUUCAGCUAGAGUAUGGGAGAGGUAGGUGGAAUUCCUGGUGUAGGGGUGAAAUGCGUAGAGAUUAAGAGGAACACGAGUGGCGAAGGCGACCUGCUAGAAUAUAACUGACGCUGAGGCGCGAAAGCGUGGGGAGCAAACAGGAUUAGAUACCCUUGUAGUC